UAUAGGCUCUACAAGUGUAGAGCGUUUUCUUGGAAACCAAACAGAAGAUGUGUGUGUUUGCAAAGCGCAAAUUUUGUGCUCUUUAGAAUCCAAAUGAUGGCAUCCUUACGGGAUUUAACGAUUGUUUGCCCUAGUCUCAAGUGAUUAGUGUUUAUGUAUUUUCUUGGGAACCAAACGCCACAUCAGUGUCUUUUCUAAACCAAUUUGGUCUAGUCACUCGUGACCAGUGUGUAUGGAUUUUCCUGGGAACCAAAAACAACAUUGGUGUUCAUUUGCAAGCAAAUGUAAUGCUCCUUGAGUUCCAAAUAAUGAAAUGCUCACAUAAAUUGAAGGUUAUGAUGCAAGUGCUUGAUAAAAGGGUUCAGAGUUCAGCUCCUUUUUUCUGAAUUGCCACUGAUCCUCUUUCUUCUGGUGAGAUGAGAGGUCGAGGGAAACAAAAAAAAAAACACUGUUGGGGGCAUUCAUGUUCUUCUGCAAUCACCAUUGUUGCUUUAGCAAGUAUAUCUGAAAUUAUGGUACUUGGUUUGAAAUUCCAUUCAUUAGGACCGAACUGCUUCCUUGUUAAUUGAUAUUUAAGAUAGGUAGUGAAUUUUUCACUUGUAUGAUUCAUUUUUAUGGCGAGGCAUCAAUGUUGAAUUUUUAUUCAAAUUCUAACACUAUAUUUUGAUCUUA